CCAACCGUUUAUAUACUGUCUAUAAUAACUGAUUCAACAAGGACAUCACCAAAACAAGAAGAAUGUGAAGAAGAAUGUUGAGCGUGUGUUGACUGCGUGCAGGAUUAAUUCUACAGCAGCCAUGUGUUCACGAAAAUGAUCUUAUUUGAACAGCAUACACAAUCAAAUGCUUUAUAGUGGGCAUGGAUGAAGACGCCAUCAACGAGGCCACUGAAGAAACCAGUGUUGGGAUUUAUGUUCUUAAAGAACAUGCUUCAAGUGAUGAACCAGGGGACAUUGGUAUUGUCCUUGAAAGCAUCAAGAUGUUGCAAGAUCUUUAUAAUGUAGCAUUACCUGUUGCUAUGCUGUUUGGACUAAUGUACA